rnacentral:misc_RNA from 1 species
GCGCCUCAGCUGCCCCGAGGCCCCAAGGGCUGCGCCGGGUGCGCCUGAGGCGCGCCUGAUAACAGUGCUUUCACUUGCACAAUCAAUUUCCAUGUCACGUAUUUAGAUCGCAUUUCACACUGCAAUUUACUUAGUUCAAUUGGUGGAAGUACAUAUACUAUUUGAAUUCAUCUCAAAUUCAAUUACAAUAUAUAGUUUAUUAUUUCAAGCUCUCUCAUAUCCAAUUACCUAUAUUCACAUAAUACUCAAAUCCAAAUAUGAUAUGAGCUAACGUGAAACGAUAGCAUAUGGGAUUAAUAAAACGGGCUGAGAAAGAAGAGUUAAAGGAAACUGAGUCUGGUUCAAUAAAAGGGGAGGGCGUCUGGAACAAGAAGACAGAGGCGGGAAGAAUAAGAAGAAUAUACAGAUGGCAGCAAGGAAUUGGCAGAGUUGUUAGGUUCUGUUGUAAAGUUAUUGUGACUGAAUUGUUGUUAGUUGUACCUGUUAUAAAUGUUAAGCUUUUCUUGUAAUUAUUCUCUAAUGAAAUGAAAUGAAAUUAUGACUCUUAAUUCUCUUCUUCUAAUUCUGUCUUUCCUCUCUUUUCUCUCUCCUCUCUAUUUUGUUUCUUCUAAAGAAACAAGAAACAUAUCCAGCAUAAGCCAACA